UAGCGGAGCGUGUGGUUUAAUUCGACUAACACGAAGAGCCUUACCAGGACUUGACAUGUACAGGCAAUCCGUGGAAACACGGCCCUCCCUAUGGGACCUGUACACAGGUGCUGCAUGGCUGUCCUCCAGCUCGUGCCGUGAGGUGUUGGGUUAAGUCCCGCAACGAGCGCAACCCUCGUCGCCAGUUAUACGUGUCUGGCGAGACCGCCGGGAGAAACCCGGAGGAAGGUGGGGAUGAUGUCAAGUCAGCAUGGCCCUUACGCCCUGGGCUACACACACGCUACAAUGGCCGGUACAGAGGGUUGCCAAACCGCGAGGUGGAGCCAAUCCCCAAAAACCGGUCCCAGUUCGGAUUGCAGGCUGCAACCCGCCUGCAUGAAGUCGGAGUUGCUAGUAACCGCAUAA
rnacentral:rRNA from 1 species